rnacentral:rRNA from 1 species
AUGACAGAACAACCGAUUAACACGCUUUGCUGGAACGUGAGGGGAUUAAAUUGCCCAGAUCGAAGGGCAACAGUUAAAGCUACAAUUGAGGGGUCCUCUUGCCAUCUCAUUUGCCUUCAGGAGACGAAGUUGAGCUCAGUCAACAUGUUCACUGCCGCGUCCAUUGGUGGAUUUAGAUUUCGCGGCUUCGCGCAACGUCCGGCUAUCGGAACUAGGGGAUGCAUCCUAUUGCUUUGGGAUGAGAACCUUCUUGAUGUCAAUGACAUUGUCGCAACCAACUACUGUUUGUCAGCCUCUGUGCGAAUUCAUUCAUCCGGAAUCUGCUUCAAGGCAACAACUGUCUAUGGCCCCACGGACCAGGCUAGCAAAGAUGCUUUCUUUGCGGAGAUCAUCGCCCACAAGACGUUGCAGGAUAUGGCAUGGCUCGUCCUAGGGGACUUCAACCAGAUCUACCGAGCUAGAGACAAAAAUAAAAGGAACGUGAAUCGUAGUAGGAUCAACUGCUUCCGGUCUGCGUUGCAAACCUGCGAUCUCAAGGAAAUCCACCUCCAGAAUCGGCGUUUUACGUGGAGCAAUGAGCAUAAUAACCCAACGCUAUGCAAGCUCGACUCAUUCUUCUGCAAUGCCGAGUGGGACACCACUUUCAACACUCAUGUCCUCCAUGCCCUGUCGUCCUCCCUCUCCGACCACUGCCCCUUACUGCUAGCUGAUGACAAGGGGCCGAGACGGCCUCGAUCCUUCAAGUUCGAAAACUUCUGGGUUUCUUUGCCUAGAUUUCAUGAGGUGGUCCAAAAAGCUUGGAAUGAGCCAAUGCAGCACUCUGAACCUUACCUAAGGCUUCACCAUAAACUCAAAAAGACUGCUUUGCGGUUUUCUGAGUGGAGCAAGAAUAUGUUCUCUAAGGCCAAGAUCCACCUACAUGCAGCCCACAUGGUCAUCCUUCGCCUGGACAUUGCUCAAGAGGAGCGGACUCUCUCUGUGGAGGAGCUAGACCUUCGCUCACGCCUCAAGCGGAGGGUGAUUAGCCUUGCAGUGUUGCAAAGGGCUAGGAAAAGGCAGUGCGUGAGGAUUGCUAACCUAAGGGAAAGGGGAUGCCAAUACAAAAAUUUUCCACCGCCGCGUCAAUGCGAGAAGAAGGAAAAAUCACAUACAUCGAAUUAG